GUGAGUAUGGGGCCCAAGGAAUGAUAGAUUUCAUGAACGAAAGCAAGUUGAUGGAUCUUCUAAACAGCUCUGAAUACGUGCCAACCUAUGAAGAUAAGGAUGGUGAUUGGAUGCUGGUGGGAGAUGUCCCAUGGGAGAUGUUCGUUGAUUCAUGCAAGCGCUUAAGGAUAAUGAAGGGAUCGGAAGCUAUCGGGCUCGCCCCAAGAGCGAUGGAAAAAUGCAAAAGCAGAAGCUGAAAGAGGAGUCUGAUUGCAAUAUUUGUGUUUUUUUUUUUUUUUUAAUUUAAAUUUAAAUUUUGAAUGUUGUGAUUGGUAAAUAGAUAUUAAAAGAGAUUUGGGAGAUUAAUUAAUUAAUUUGUAAUAGGAAACAAGAAAAUAAACUCUCUCUCUCUCUAUA